rnacentral:misc_RNA from 1 species
CUAAAAUACAAAGUUCUUAUGAAGUAACAACAAAUAAGAUGUCAGUUCAUGUUGAAAACAAAAAAAGGAAAAAUUCAGUGAUCGAAAGCAGGAGAAAAAUGUCACAGUAGGAAGCCGCAAAGCCAAACUUGAACCAUCUCGAAACAGAACUAAAUCCAUGCAAGCUGCUUCAGAUAGUACAACAAUUAGUAGAAAAAUAAGGACAAAAUCUGCUUCAGAUGUUUUUGACAGAAAAGAAAAUGAAUCAUGUACAGGAGUUGAACAACCAAAAAAAAGUGGAUCACACGUAUCCAGAAAUAUCUGUGCUUCAUGUGAUACUCGUAGAGCAGUUCUAUAUACAGAAGAAACCUCUCGAACCAGGACCAAAUCUCUCCAAGAGAGUUUCUCAGAUGUACAAGUACCAAGAAAAAAACGUCGGUUUUCUUCUGUUCCAAGUGUUCUGGAUGGUAAAUUAUCAGGAGGUGUUUUUAAACAUGAGGACACUCAAAGCUCAUCAGAAACUGUUGACUCCAGAGAUGCUGGAGAACCAGAAAACUCACUAGAUAUCCCCUUAGCCAUGGACAAGAAAAACAAGAAGAGUCAAGUUGAAUGUUAUUAUGAUGGAGAAGUUGUCCAUUGUAUCUGUGAGUCCUCAGAGGAAAGUGGAUUAAUGAUGCAGUGUGAGGUAUGUUUGGCUUGGCAGCAUGGAGAAUGUUUUGAUAUUGAAGCUGAGGAAAAUGUGCCACAGAAGUAUGUCUGUUAUGCCUGUUUGGAACCAAAAGGAUUGCGAGAAAGUUUCCGCUACAAGUAUGAUCAAGAUUGGUUUAAAACAGGAGAAAUGACAGCAUUUUCUUUUCUGAAUAAUGCUGCUCCACAGACCAGCCAGCCUGCUUCGAUGAGGGCAACUCACGAACUUACUGCUGCUAUGCAUGAUGUUUUUAAGGUUCUACACAGUGUCAAGUACAAAAUCAAGGUUCUUAAAGAUGACAAUCAUCCAGAUCUGAAAAAUUUCUCAAGUUCUUGGCAUAAAGUUAGCAAAGAUAAGGAAGAAGCUGCUUCAAAUACAUUGCAUUCUCAAGAUAUAAAAUUGGAAGAAGCCCCUACUUCACCAUCUGAGACUCUUCCCCUACAACAAAUUUUCAUGGAUAUGGAUCAUUCCUACUUCUCUACAGAAAAACCAACAUCUGCUGGUCUAGCUAAACAUUGUUCUAUGUAUGAAAAUGAUUCAUUAGACCAAGAAACAUCAUCAGGAGAAUGUAUGGGGAGUGGAACAUCAGAUGAACUAACAACAUCUUUGUCUGUUGAGUCCAGUGGACAGCAGGUCACUGUAGAGCAACAUAAGACAUUGACCAACUGGGGUGAAACCAGCAUGGAAUCUGGUUCUUCAGAGUUCAACACUCUUACCAGCUGUGAUCAAGAGGUGUUAUUAGUGUCAUCUGGUAUGGAGGAUGUGAUCAUAGAAACUGUCCAUGAUUUAACUGGAGAAUCUCGUGAACAUUUUUCUACUGAAGGAGACUUGCAAUUUUCAGGUUUCAAAACUGUAACAAUGGAUGAAAGUUUAGGCAGCUCCGAUGGGUUAAAGGAGCCAGGAACUACUAGUGGUUCAAAGGUAAGCAACAAACCUGAAAAUCUACAAUUAAGAAAAGUUGAAAAAGAAGAAAUAUCUUGUCAUGCAGACCCAGAGAAGUGUAAGCAAAACUUGCUGGACCAUGUUGCUAAAGUGCAUGAAGAACUGGAACAGAGGAUGGACCUUAUUGAGGAACAAAUUAAUGAGUAGGAGAGCUUUGAGUCAGAAAGUCCUGCAUUGUAACCCUCCCAGAGGUUGGUGAAUUUUAGGCACCAUCUGCACUUGCAAAUCAAUCCACUUCAACUGGGUUGCAACAAGAGGGUCAGGCUUUUAGCUAUGGGGAUGGCCAAGGGAAAGCCUUAGAAGUUGAAUCAGACUUCUUGUUGCCAGACCCCCAGGAAGGUCCAGAAGGGGAUACAGAAAAUGCAGCCCAGCUGAUGUUGUCAUUAAAGGGACUAGUAAAAGACU